rnacentral:rRNA from 1 species
UACGUAGGGACCAAGCGUUGUUCGGAUUUACUGGGCGUAAAGGGCGCGUAGGCGGCAUGACAAGUCACUUGUGAAAUCUCCGGGCUUAACUCGGAACGGUCAAGUGAUACUGUCGCGCUAGAGUGCGGAAGGGGCAAUCAGAAUUCUUGGUGUAGCGGUGAAAUGCGCAGAUAUCAGGAGGAACACCGGUGGCGAAGGCGGUGGUCUGGGCCGGCACUGACGCUGAGGAGCGAAAGCGUGGGGAGCGAACAGG